AGCAACACGUGGAUAACCUACCUAUAAGACUGGGAUAACUUCGGGAAACCGGAGCUAAUACCGGAUAAUAUUUUGAACCGCAUGGUUCAAAAGUGAAAGACGGUCUUGCUGUCACUUAUAGAUGGAUCCGCGCUGCAUUAGCUAGUUGGUAAGGUAACGGCUUACCAAGGCAACGAUGCAUAGCCGACCUGAGAGGGUGAUCGGCCACACUGGAACUGAGACACGGUCCAG
rnacentral:rRNA from 1 species